UACGUAGGGUGCAAGCGUUAAUCGGAAUUACUGGGCGUAAAGCGUGCGCAGGCGGUUGUGUAAGACAGAUGGGAAAUCCCCGGGCUCAACCUGGGAACUGCAUUUGUGACUGCACAGCUGGAGUGCGGCAGAGGGGGAUGGAAUUCCGCGUGUAGCAGUGAAAUGCGUAGAUAUCUGGAGGAACACCAAAGGCGAAGGCAGCUUACUGGAAGAGAUCUGACGCUCAGGCACGAAAGCGUGGGGAGCAAAAGGG
rnacentral:rRNA from 1 species